GCUUUGGUUUACAGAGACGAACUAGAUAUUUGUAAAUUGUUCCUGCCAACCAGGUUCCCCAAUCACUGCUGGAAUCCCCUGGUAGAUGUGGAUAUAUCCCAAGUAUGCCUGGUGUGCGUUUUCGUUUUUUGGGCGUAGGAACCAACCAGAAUGAGUUAAGGAUGAUGGCCCUCAACGUGCUUGUUGAUGAGGUUGAGUACAUGUUUGGUUUUAAUCCUCAACCACACAGAACACGUAACAGAGGUUGAAUACACAAAUCCUUUUCUUCACUUUUUAAAUUA